GCAGAAGCAGGAUGCUUCAGGAAACAAGCUUCUUCAAGAUGCUGGGCUAUGGAUAUCCCAAAGGAUUAAGGAUCAUUUUGCCAAGCACACCACAAUGAGCAUAAACCUCAAAUAUAUAGAUCCAACCUACAUGAUCCGAGCAAUUCCAAGCAAUGC